rnacentral:rRNA from 1 species
UACGUAGGGUGCAAGCGUUGUCCGGAAUUAUUGGGCGUAAAGAGCUCGUAGGCGGUUUGUCGCGUCGACUGUGAAACCCCGAGGCUUAACCUCGGGCCUGCAGUCGAUACGGGCAGACUAGAGUUCGGUAGGGGAGACUGGAAUUCCUGGUGUAGCGGUGAAAUGCGCAGAUAUCUGGAGGAACACCGGUGGCGAAGGCGGCGUUCUGGACUGCAACUGACACUGAAAAACGAAAGCCAGGGGAGCAAACGGG